UGGAAAGGGAGAGGGGAAUGUAACCCCUGAGAAAGGGGUCUUGUGUGUUUCAGCUUUCUGCCAGUUAUGCAUGAAGGCUGCUUAGGCUGAAGAGAAGGCAAGAGGGAAGCUCUUGUGCCACUGUGGGGAGCGUACACCUUCCAUCUUCUACUGGCUCCCUUCUCCAGCCCAUGUCCUCUCCUGAAGACAAGCUGCAUCUUGGUAGUGCUUUGUGUAUCUUCAGCACUGGACCAGUGUCCAGCUUGUGGUGUUUAACUGGUCACAGACAUUCUUGUGGUGUUUGCCAAUUCACAUACAGCAUGUAAUUGUAUUCAGGACGCAGUAGGAAUUAAAUGACAUCAAUUCCCAUGAAUAUUCAUUUAAAAAUCUCUACCAAAUUCAGGCAGAUUAAUAGCCCAAUGCAAAUACAAUGGCUAUUCAUUGCCCCCACAGGAAAAGGAAAUAUGUAUCGACUGGCAGCUAGGGACAAAUGCUACAGAAAAUAGGGAAAUCUGCUACAGAAAAGUUACCUCUGUGUGUCUUUUGAUACAGAGGUGGUUGGAGGGAAGCCUAGAGGCAUAAAGAUUAGUGUGGGUAUGGACAUGGGGGCCCUUCCUAUUCACUGAGGAACCUGAAAGAGUCUGGGGUGAAAUUUAAACUCAUGUCUCUGCACUACCAAUGUAAAAUCAAAGCAACUCUGGCUGCAGUGGAGCUUCACUGGAGUCUCAACAGAGCCAAGUGCAGUUUAUUUUGUGUCUGAUCCUGCUGCCCUGUGCAUGAAGCCAGCCUCUGGCCUGUUCUCCCUGGAUCAAACUGCCGGGGCAGAACAACAACUUGUCUUCCUUGUGAGCAGCAGUGAGCCUGGCACUGGCCCUUGGGGUGGCCAAAGGGCAGCCCUGUCCUACAGGUACCACAUGCUUCCUCUCCACUGCUCCAGCUCAUCUUUGGGCCAGGACAUGGCUUCCACUGUGACCAGGCAAAGCAAGAAAGUAUAAUAACAAAACAGAUGAAGAGUGCGAGUGCAUUUGCAAAGUAAGCAUCAAAGACUGGGAUGCUGAAAAAACCUCCCAACUUUUAUAGAGACAAUACAAAGCAACAUUUAAGUUAAAAAAUUAUCUGUGUCUGGUUACAGCCCUUAUCUUGGAGGACUUAUUUAUGCAUUUCCUUUAGUCAGACAAGCCAGCUUGAGUCCUUAGUAUUACUUUUAUCUCGUUAUGGGAUUUCCCCAAUUGGAGCGUGGAUCCUGCUUCCACUAAAGUUGGUGGCAAGCGUUGCCAACAGCAGUGAGCUCAGCCUCUAAGCUGGAGGUUUAUGCCUUUCAAAAUAACCCCUCACCAAGUCAACCCUUCCCACCCUUGAAGUUACCUGAGCAAAAGAAAUGUCUGAUGUGAUUCACCUUGUGUGAUGUGCAGAGAGCUUCUGCCUUUCUGAGGGCUGUCUGCACCAGACUGCUUGACUCCCCACGCAAGGAGAGGGAAUGUGGAGAACAGCAACUAGUAACUUCCUCAAAUGGGUUUUGUCUUGAGCUACAGUACAAGAGUAUUCUCAGGUUCUCCUCUCCUGAGCACUGUGAGAGCAUCUGGCUUAUUUAAAAUAAAGUCAGAAAAUCAUUUCUCUUUAGUACGUCCACGAACUUUCUGUGACAGUACACAGUAUCUCAACUUUUCAUGCCUGAUGUUAAAGGUAACAGCUGAGGACCCCCAAGGGGUUGGUUUGCACCUAUGCAGGAGUCUGCAGUGGCCCAGGCCUAUCCAUGCAGCUUGGUGAUGCGCUCUCCAAAGCCUCAUAAUCCAAUGACUAAAGUGGAAAGGACUCUGAGGCCUGGCUCCUGGGACAUUGGAGGUGGGGCAUUACAGGAGCUUGGAAAACAUUCUGCCUUUAAAACAAGUAGCACCUAUAAUUAUGGAGGCGUCAUCACCUUCAUCGCUUUUUUUUUUUAGCUAACAAGCUGCACUUGUAGCCUGUUUACACCCUUGCCAACAUGUGCCAAGCAUUUGCUCUUGGGAUAGGUUCUGCUGGUGGUGGGAAUAUCAAGCAUCUUUCUCCAGGCACUUGUAAACCAAUACACCAGUAAACAGCUCGAGUACAAUUAGCAGCUACAUUGGCAGAGGGAAGGGAGAAGUCCCACUGCUGGUACUGUCUGUGGAAUUAAUCAUGUUUUACAGAGCUCAUGUACUGGUUUAGAUUUGCAAAGUUAAAAACAGGAGGCAAGGAAGUUUCCAAUAAACAUUUAUCCCAGGGUGAAAUGUAAAAGAAGUAUCUUUUAGGAGAGGAACAUUUAAGGGGGGAUGUU